CCUGACCUAAUUAGGCCAGAAGCUCCUCUCAGGUUUAUUCUCCAAAAUAAACCUGUCUUUGACUGUUGAGUUGCUUUUUGUGUUUCUUUCUUCCUUCUUCAACUCUUACAGAAGGGAGUGAAGAAAGGGAGGCCAAGGCAGAGACAGAGAUUCAAGGCAAAUUCAUGUUCUCAGUCUCAGAAGAGAAGAUGCCAGGACACAAGUCAGUAAGGCAAGUAUCAGAUCUUGAACUAUCAAUCCAAGACAAUAUGAGGAGCUCGCAGUGUCAAAUGUUUCAUCAGGAGAUACAGUCUCAUGCAGAAAGUCUGGGCAAGGGUGACUCAAAUUCACUGGGCCAUUUCUGGUUGUCUCAGAGCUUUUUAAAAAGAGCAGGCUAAGCCCAUUGCUAAUUAAGCAGUGGACUCAUAUGCAAAUGUAAUGUGUGACAAAUGUCUUUCAUCUGAGAACUGCAGCAAUAAAGUAAUUAAAGUGGCUGAUUUUUGUAUGCUUAGAUACUGGGAGACCAACCUGCCUGGGGAAUGAAUAUGCUGAUUGUCUUAUGGACCAGUGCCUCUAGAAAUCCCAGAACUAUUUACAUGAUACCUGAUUAAGAGAAUGAACGCAUCAGACUCUUUAAAAUUUAUUUUCUAACGGCAGGUCUAUGCAUCACUUAAUCAACACUGACAUUUUAAGAGCUUGUCAAUAAUCAUAAAGAAGUUGAGUGAAUGCUGAACCUUCAACCAAAGCACUUAGUUUCUCAAACAUUUCCAUCCAGCAGUCAUAAAGUAUGGUCCUGGAGACUGAAAGAUAUGUGUGAGAGAACCCUACAAUUUUCCAAUAUUUUCUUAUUCACCUUAAAACUUAUGUCAAUAUUCCAUAUUCUUCAUAACACAUCCAUUUGAAAGUAUAAAAAUAACAAAAGGCUAUAGGAGUAUAUGCCAUGUUUAUUCUCACUUUACAUACACUAGUCUCAUUUGUGUCUAAAAUCAGGGACAUUUUUAUUUCCAUUUUACACUGAGUCAUUGGCCAUUGCCUAUCCUGCCCAUUGACAAUAAAAUUAUAUGGUUAAUUAUGAGGAAAACUUCAUUGGACUGUAUAUUGAAGGGGAGCCACUAAUUAUUUAUCAGGCUGUUUGGCAUUAAAUAGUAUAUUGUACGUAGUGGAUAAUGUAUAGCUGAGAAUAGGGAUAUGGAUAUAGAUUAGAGGUGCACAUUUUGAACGUGCACUGCCUGGCCAAAUGUUAAAAUAAUUAUUCAGCCAAAGACAAGUGUAUCCAUUUCCUAUUGCUGCUGUAACCAACUAUCAGAACUUAGUGGCUUAAAACUACACAAAACCUUUCUCUUUGUAAAGCUGUGGAGUUCAGGAGUCUGAAAUGGGUCUAACUGGCUAAAAUAAAGAUGUCAGCAGCUCUUUCCAAGACUCUGGGGGAUAAUGUGGUUUUUUUAAUUUUGUUUUGUUUUGUUUUGUUUUUUGCCUUUUCCAAUUUCUGGAGACUGUCUGCAUUCCUUCACCCAAGCUCUUUACUUCCUCUUCAGUUGCCAGUGAAGUUUGCUCAGGUACUAUCACUAUGACACUUUUGCCUCCCUCUUUCCCAUUUAAGGACACUUUUGACUACAUUGAGAUCACCCAAAAAUAAAUCUAAUUUUUCUAUGGUCAGCUGGUUAGCAAACCUAAUUCCAUCUGAAAUCUUAAUCGCCCCUUGCUAUUUAACAUAACACGGUGGUACCCAAACUUUUUGGCACCAGGGACUGGUUUCGCGGAAGACACUUUUUCCACAGAUGGGGAGGGGUUUGGUCUUGGGAUGAAACUGUUCCACCUCAGAUCAUCAUCAGGCAUUAGAUUUUCAUAAGGAAUGUGUAACUAGAUUCUUCGCAUGCGUAGUUCACAAUAGGGUUCAUGCUCCUAUGAGAACCUAACGCUGCCACUGAUCUGACAGGAGGCGGAGCUCAAGUAGUAAUACUCUCUUGCCUGCCACUCACCUCCUGCUGUGCAGCCUGAUCCCUACCCCUGAUGUAAGAUAUUAACAGCUUCUGGCAAUUGGAUGUGGACAUCUUUGGGGAGCCCUUAAUCUGCCUACUAAACUAAAAUUGAAGCUAAUAUCACCAUCAUAACUGAAUUCCUAGGACACUAGACUAAGUCUAUAAUUGUAUUAAAAAAUUCUAUUGAGAUUUAUUGACAGUAAUCUAUUAGUCAAUUUUUUAAAGUUUUUUGUUUUUGUUUUUGUUUUGUUUUUUGAGACAAGGUCUUACUCUGCCACCCAGGCUGGAGUGCAGUGGUACAAUCAUGGCUCAUUGCAGCCUCAAUCUCCUGGGCUCAAGUGAUCCUUCCACCUCAGCCUCCCAGGCAUUAUAGCUGGGAUUUCAGGCACAUGCCAUAAUGCCCAGCUAAUAUUUUAAUUUUUUGUGUGCAGAUAGGGUCUCGCUAUGUUGUCCAGGCUGGUCUCAAAUUCCUGGGCUCAAGUGAUUCUCCCACCUUGACCUCCCAAAGUGUUGGAAUUACAAACAUAGGCAAGAGCCACCACUCCUGGCCUCAAAAGUUUUACAUUACAACACAAAAAUAUUAAUUGCUCUAUAAAAAAAUUAAUAGAUGGCCAGGCGCGGUGACUCACACCUAUAAUCCCAGCACUUUGGGAGGCCAAGGCAGGAAGAUCAUUUGAGGUCAGGAGCUCAAGACCAGCCUGGCCAACGUGGUGAAAUUCUGUCUCUACUAAAAAAAAAAAAAAAAAAAAAAUUAGCCGGGCGUGGUGGAGGGCACCUAUAAACCCAACUACUCAGAAGGUUUAGGCAGGAGAAUUGCUCAAAUUUGGGAGGCAGAGGUUGCAGUGAGCCGAGAUCACACCACUGCACUCCAGCACUCCAGCCUGGGUGACAGAGUAAGACUCCAUCUCAAAAGAAAAACAAAAACAAACAAACAAACAAAAAAACUUGAUAGUUUUCUGAAAAGUAUCCCAUGAGACUUUAGAAGAAUUACUGCCAGAAAUUUUAAAACAGUAAUUAAAAGUUAUUUUGUGAUAUGUAAUGAGCAAAAAAAUCUCUAAAGCUUAGAACUACAAUAUCUCAUUUUGAUUUUUUGCUAUAUAUUUGUAUUAAUUUUCAUAAUUAAUUGUCACAAGCAAGAGUUAAUAUUUUUCAGGAUUGGCAUCACUGGGAAGCUUGAAAGAAAUAACAGAAUCUUAGAGCCAAUCCCCUUGAAUUAGAUCUUAAGUUUUUACAAUAUCCCCAGCCAAUUUGUGAGCAGAGUCUGAGAAGCACUGAUAUAGCAAACAGUCUCUUACUUAAUAUAAACAUUUAUAUUAGCUGUCAAUAUGUUUCCCUGUUUAUUUCAGUGUUUGAAUGGCCUUUACUAAUGUUUUGGUAUAUGAAAUUAACAACUUUCAUAAUCAUAGUUCUAUUUGUUAUAAUAAUAAAUACACAUUUAUACUUCAAAUCAUUGGUAAGAUUUUAAUCUAUAAAGACAGAAGACAUACUGAGUUGCAUCUAGAAUUCACCUAUAUUUGAAAGUGGCUAUUCAGACAUAACCACAGAGCUCAGUGACAUGCCCUGUUUCAUCACUCAGCUGGGCAUGCUGACUGGAUGCGAAGGUAUCCUAAAACAUUUCAUAAUGGUUGAUUAUGCACAAAUGUAACAAUUCUGGGAAUUCCAUUGAAACAGGCAUUUGGUUACUGUGCCGUCCAGAGGCCAAGGAUAAAGCCAAAGCUAACAAGUAGAUUUUAGCCAACCACUCACCGUGGUUGAAACUGAGCCCUGUGUGUUGAGCUCUGUUACGUGUGCAUGUGUGUGGUGGGGUGUACGCGUGCAUGACUGCAUUAGUGGAUUGUAUUGUCUUUUACUAUUGACUUGGAAAGAAAACAAAUCAAAAUAAACAAUAACAAAAGACUAAUCAACAUAACACUCUAGGCACUCUUGGGUUGCUUAGUUUAGAAUGAAUCAAAUUCAGUGGGAAACCGCAAUUGUCUUUAUAGAUUUGAGGAAAGGAAAAAGGAGUGAGAAAUGUCUAUUGAGGCCCUAAGUGGUAAGACUGAGACCUAUGUGAAGAAGUUACAGAGGAAGGAUUUUUAUCCUCAUAAGAUAUAACUUACAACCAUCCAAGAAAGCUGUCCAAAGAUAAAAUGAGCUGCUUGGGGACUUAAUGAAUUGUCUUCUGCCUUAGGUGUUUAGCUUUAGACAGAGUGCUGGCAGAAGGGAUUCAAAUUUCAUUUGGAUGAUUAAUAAUAAUAGCUCAUAUUUGUUGAGCACUCUUAAGAGUGCACUUCCUACAGUGCUAAUGCAACUUACAAUAUUAACUCAUUUGCCCACAACAGCUUCUUAAGGUAGGUGCUACUGUUCUUUAUUUUAAAAAGAGAUAUGAAGAAGUUAAAGGACUUAGUCUAAGCAAUGAGUGGCAGAAAUAGCAUUUGAAUCCAAGUCCCUCAGAUUAUAAAGCUAUAACAUAUUGCAAACGAAGCAGGAUAGAUUUGAGCCCUCAUCUUCCCCUCAACUGGAACAAUUCUUCCUGGUAAUUGGUGUUAAGCAUCUUUUAAGAAUGAUGCUUUACAUUUUGACUUUUUCAAGGCAUUGAAUAUUUCUCAAUGACAAUUUAUGUGUGUGUGUGUAUAUAUACGUGUGUGUGUAUGUGCAUAUAUAUGUAAUGAGAGAGAGAGAGAAAUUGGGAGGUUGUCACUACCUUCUGUACAGUUAUUGACAGGAUCAAACAAGUUAAUAUAAAGCAAUUCAAGAGUGAAUGGUUUAGAAGAAAUUCAGGAAAUGUUUGUUGAAUGAAUGUACAAAUGAAUGAAAUUUCCAUUCUUAUUAGCCUACCAUAUAACAGAGCUUUGAAGCUAAGAAAAACUAUUUCACUCAUUAUUUUUAGCUUAUAUUUCUGAAAUGCCACAGAAACUUGUACCUGCGUAAAGUAAGUAAAGGAGGUGGUAUAAGGUUUUGUGAUCAAUAUGAAAUAGAAUUAGCCAGCAGUUCCCACAGCUCUAAAGUGGUCUACCUGUUAUUCUAAAUUACAAUCACAGUAAUGGUUUCUGUAAAGAAUACAUCAUCUGCUAGGUCUGGUAAAUGCAUUCAUCCUG
rnacentral:lncRNA from 1 species